GCUCUUGCUCGGACCUGGUGGAGAAGCAGCACUCACAGUGGACAGAGCAAUCAACAGCACAAUGUAUAUCCAUACCAGCAAUCCAAGCGCCAUGUCUGAGCUCUUAUGCAUUGGCACGGCAGGAAUAAUCAGCUUGAGAAGCAAAUAUGGGUGCAGAGGAUGAUUCGUUCUUUCGUAUACGCAGUCAGGCAGGGUCAAUGGAACACUGCUGUUCGGUUCUCAUCUCUUCCCAUAGUUGCUAUCGACUUGACGUACUCCUUCCUAA